GAACGCGAUGUGAUCGAGGCAGAACCGAGCGCAGGAUUUCCUCAGACGGCAGUUGUGAUCCUGAUAUUACGGAGCCUUCGUCGCUGGAUUGCCCCAAGGACCCGGCCAGAAAAUUGCAUUUAGCUCGAGCUUAUCUAGAGGCCCACUAACCGAACUAGUUGAUAAGAAACGCUUUAGUAAUACUAGCUGUACCUCUAUAAUAUAAUUGUAUGUAGUUUGGCUUUUAGUUGAUCAA